CCAAAUUCAAUUGAAUAAUAUUAAGCAAUCAAUUUGAAGAAGACAGAUCAAUAUACACAGAAUUUAGUUUAAUGAUGUCCAAUUUAGACACGAGCGACAUGCUAAAUUCACAGAAGAUAUCGAUAGUACAACGUCUCAAGAAUACUGUGUUCAAACAUUUCGAUAAAAUUUGUUAUGGUUAAAAUUCUACAGCCAUAAAAGUGACUGAGGAUCGGAACGUUGAUAGGAGCAGCAUGCAAAUAUAAUAAUAAUAUCAUAUAAUAUAAUAUAAUAAUCAUAAUACAAUAAUACAGAAAUAAAAAUAAUGUAAAAUAAUAUAAAAAUAAUAAUUUCUGUGCUAAAUAAAACGGCAAAAUUAACAGAACAAUAUUAAUGAGGAAAAUGUCAAGAAACUAUAACUUGGCUGGAUUUUAUCACAAAAUAUUAACGGACGCAAACAACACGCAAGUAUUUGGAAUGCCAGGUUGGCAAUGCAGCCUACUCCCACAAACCACCUCUGGAUCAAGAAGUUCAAGAUAUCAUUAAACCGAUACUGGAAGAUUUAACAAUUGAGGAGCUAUUGAAACAUUGUUUGGGUAGAAGCACUAAAAAUAACAACGAGAGUUUCAAUAAAUGCGAAUGGAAGCUUGCGCCCAAAGAGAUAUUCCAGGACAAAAAUAUUAUUAAAAUUUCAACUUGGACUGCAGCAUACUUUUUCAGUGAAGGAUGCAUGACUUCACUGAGGAUAUUAGAAGUAAUGGGAAUAAAUACCGGUUGCCAUGUAAAUGCUUUUAGUAGUCAACGAAAUCAAGAACGUAUCGCAUCAGCUGACUACCUAAGCAGCGAACGAACUAAGGAGUCCAGAAUGUAUAGAAAAAAAGAUAACAGUGAGUUGGAAGUUGAUCUCGAAAUAACCGAGGGAUUGCUAUAUGGUGCAGAAAUAGCUGAUUGAAGACUACCUGGUGACGAAUUUGGAUGGCGCUCAGUAAGGAGUAUUUUUAAAACACAUCGGUGCAGUCAAUGUCGUCUACAAGAUGAACCGACAGGAAAUUAGAAAAAUUUGUUCGUGCUUGAUUAAUGUAUAAAUAAAACUGCACUAUUUUAUUUCACCGAUUCCUUGAAGGAAAAUUCUAAAAAUGAUCCAUUUUUCGACCAUUUUAUCAUGAAAGCAUCC